UCCUACGGGAGGCAGCAGUGGGGAAUUUUGGACAAUGGGGGCAAGCCUGAUCCAGCCAUGCCGCGUGGGUGAAGAAGGCCUUCGGGUUGUAAAGCCCUUCGUCGGGGAAGAAGUCCAGGUGGUUAAUACCUUGGGGAAGACGGUACCCGAAGAAGAAGCACCGGCUACUUUG
rnacentral:rRNA from 1 species